UCCCUGGCAGCCUAGUGGUUAAGGAUCCAGCAUUGUCACUGCUGUGGCGUGGGUUCCAACCCUGGCCCUGGGAA
rfam:Sus scrofa chromosome 2.